AGACCCCUGCCGUGCUCGUGAUCGGUGGAAGUUUUUUUGAGCCAACACUUUAUAACCACGGGAACCUUCUCUUGCUUUGGUGUGCAUGUUCUGUGGCCCAACAGAAAAGCCUAAAGGAGCAACAAGGUGCCCACCUGUGCAAACAGGUUCAAGAGAAUCUGCCGACACGGCAUCGUGGUGGGGGUACC
rnacentral:other from 1 species